UACGUAGGGCGCAGGCGUGUCCGGAAUUAUUGGGCGUAAAGAGCUCGUAGGCGGUUCGUCGCGUCGGCUGUGAAAACCUGAGGCUCAACCUCAGGCCUGCAGUCGAUACGGGCGGACUUGAGUACUGCAGGGGAGACUGGAAUUCCUGGUGUAGCGGUGAAAUGCGCAGAUAUCAGGAGGAACACCGGUGGCGAAGGCGGGUCUCUGGGCAGUAACUGACGCUGAGGAGCGAAAGCGUGGGGAGCAAACAGG
rnacentral:rRNA from 1 species